GCCUGGCUGGCUCAGUUGGUGGAGCAUGUGACUCUUAAUCUUGGGGUUGUGGGUUCAAGCCCAGCGUUGGGUG
rnacentral:tRNA from 1 species